rnacentral:rRNA from 1 species
UGGGGAAUAUUGGACAAUGGGCGAAAGCCUGAUCCAGCCAUGCCGCGUGUGUGAAGAAGGUCUUCGGAUUGUAAAGCACUUUAAGUUGGGAGGAAGGGCAGUAAGCGAAUACCUUGCUGUUUUGACGUUACCGACAGAAUAAGCACCGGCUAACUCUGUGCCAGCAGCCGCGGUAAUACAGAGGGUGCAAGCGUUAAUCGGAAUUACUGGGCGUAAAGCGCGCGUAGGUGGUUCGUUAAGUUGAAUGUGAAAGCCCCGGGCUCAACCUGGGAACUGCUUCCAAAACUGGCGAGCUAGAGUAGGGCAGAGGGUGGUGGGAUUUCCUGUGUAGCGGUGAAAUGCGUAGAUAUAGGAAGGAACACCAGUGGCGAAGGCGACCACCUGGGCUCAUACUGACACUGAGGUGCGAAAGCGCGGGGAGCAAACAGG